CGAGUCCGCCGGGCGAUCGCGGUACGCCGAGGAAAGUCCGGACUCCACAGGGCACGGUGCUGGGUAACACCCAGGCGGGGCGACCCGACGGAAAGUGCAACAGAGAGCAGACCGCCGAUGGCCUUCGGGCACAGGCAAGGGUGAAACGGUGGGGUAAGAGCCCACCAGCGUCCCGGGCGACCGGGCGGAUCGGCAAACCCCACCGGGAGCAAGGCCGAGCAGGGACAGGGUGGCCCGCCCGUCACGUCCCGGGUUGGCCGCAUCGAGCUCGACCGGCAACGGCGGGCCCAGACAGAUGAUCGCCGCCGGCUCCGGCCGGCACAGAAUCCGGCUUACAGGCGGACUCGAGAC
rnacentral:RNase_P_RNA from 2 species